UACGGAGGGGGCAAGCGUUGUCCGGAAUCAUUGGGCGUAAAGAGCGUGUAGGCGGCCAGAUAAGUCCGCUGUGAAAUCUCGAGGCUCAACUUCGAGCUGUCGGUGGAAACUGUCUGGCUAGAGUCCGGAAGAGGAGAGUGGAAUUCCUGGUGUAGCGGUGAAAUGCGCAGAUAUCAGGAAGAACACCUAUGGCGAAGGCAGCUCUCUGGGACGGUACUGACGCUGAGACGCGAAAGCGUGGGGAGCGAACAGG
rnacentral:rRNA from 1 species